GCAGUCGACGGUACGGGAAGAAGCUUGCUUUCUUUGCUGACGAGUGGCGGACGGGUGAGUAAUGCUUGGGAAUCUGGCUUAUGGAGGGGGAUAACUACGGGAAACUGUAGCUAAUACCGCGUAGUAUCGGAAGAUGAAAGUGUGGGACCGCAAGGCCACAUGCCAUGAGAUGAGCCCAAGUGGGAUUAGGUAGUUGGUUAGGUAAAGGCUGACCAAGCCGACGAUCUCUAGCUGGUCUGAGAGGAUGACCAGCCACACUGGAACUGAGACACGGUCCAGACUCCUACGGGAGGCAGCAGUGGGGAAUAUUGCACAAUGGGGGGAACCCUGAUGCAGCCAUGCCGCGUGAAUGAAGAAGGCCUUCGGGUUGUAAAGUUCUUUCGGUGAUGAGGAAGGCGGUUGUUUUAAUAGAACAAUCGAUUGACGUUAGUCACAGAAGAAGCACCGGCUAACUCCGUGCCAGCAGCCGCGGUAAUACGGAGGGUGCGAGCGUUAAUCGGAAUAACUGGGCGUAAAGGGCACGCAGGCGGUGACUUAAGUGAGAUGUGAAAGCCCCGAGCUUAACUUGGGAAUUGCAUUUCAUACUGGGUCGCUAGAGUACUUUAGGGAGGGGUAGAAUUCCACGUGUAGCGGUGAAAUGCGUAGAGAUGUGGAGGAAUACCGAAGGCGAAGGCAGCCCCUUGGGAAUGUACUGACGCUCAUGUGCGAAAGCGUGGGGAGCAAACAGGAUUAGAUACCCUGGUAGUCCACGCUGUAAACGCUGUCGAUUUGG
rnacentral:rRNA from 1 species